rnacentral:rRNA from 1 species
CCUACGGGCGGCUGCAGUGGGGAAUCUUGCGCAAUGGGCGGAAGCCUGACGCAGCGACGCCGCGUGCGGGACGAAGGCCUUCGGGUCGUAAACCGCUUUCAGCAGGGACGAGGCCCGCACGGGGACGGUACCUGCAGAAGAAGCCCCGGCUAACUACGUGCCAGCAGCCGCGGUAAUACGGCGGGGGCGAGCGUUAGCCGGAUUCAUGGGGCGUAAAGCGCGCGUAGGCGGCCUGUUAGGUCGGGGGGCAAAUACCGGGGCGCAACCCCGGGCCGCCCCCGAUACCGGCAGGCUUGAGGCUGGUAGGGGCAGGCGGAAUUCCCAGUGUCGCGGU